rnacentral:rRNA from 1 species
UACAGAGACUGCAAGCGUUUAUUCGGAUUCACUGGGCGUAAAGGGUGCGCAGGCGGUUGGGUGUGUCAGAUGUGAAAUCCCGAGGCUUAACCUCGGAACUGCGUCUGAAACUACUCGACUAGAGUACUGGAGAGGGAAACGGAAUUCACGGUGUAGCAGUGAAAUGCGUAGAUAUCGUGAGGAACACCAGAGGCGAAGGCGGUUUCCUGGACAGUUACUGACGCUCAGGCACGAAAAGCAUGGGGGAGCAAAAGGG